AAAGACAAGACAUUUAUCUUAGCAUCAUACCAUCAAGGGAAUCAUUGGUUACUACUCGUGCUUCAUGCAAGUUCAAGAAUCGUAUAUGUAUUAGAUCCAUUGAAUUGUAGGUGCAAAAUUGAAGUCAAACAAGCCGUGAAUAUGGCUUUUCGAACCUCUGCAAUUCAACGAGGGCAAAGGAUUAUGG